GGAUGCUGCAGUUAAAGGGUCCGUAGUUGAUGAAUGUUUGAUGUGGGGUUUGAAACAAGAGCUCCUAGGAUGUUAUUAUGACGCAACGGACGGGGAGAACCGGAUAGUUGGGCGAGAGGUGAAAUGUGCAGACCCUGACUGGACGAACGGAGGCGAAGGCGGUUUUCUUGGACGAAUGUGAGGAUGAAGGACGAAGGCUGGAGUAUCGAAAUCGAUUAGAUACCGUUUUAGUUCCAGCAGUAAACGAUGCUACCUGUGUUGUGUUUUUUUAAUCGAAGCAUGAUGGUGGAGAAAUCUGGAAGGAUGUGAGCUCUGGGGAUAGUACGCUCGCAAGGGUGA
rnacentral:rRNA from 1 species